rnacentral:misc_RNA from 1 species
GAUGAAGAACGCAGCGAAAUGCGAUAAGUAAUGUGAAUUGCAGAAUUUUGUGAAUCAUCGAGUCUUUGAACGCACAUUGCGCCCCCUGGUAUUCCGGGGGGCAUGCCUGUCCGAGCGUCAUUGCUGCCCUCAAGCACGGCUUGUGUGUUGGGCCCCGUCCUCCGAUCCCGGGGGACGGGCCCGAAAGGCAGCGGCGGCACCGCGUCCGGUCCUCGAGCGUAUGGGGCUUUGUCACCCGCUCUGUAGGCCCGGCCGGCGCUUGCCGAUCAACCCAAAUUUUUAUCCAGGUUGACCUCGGAUCAGGUAGGGAUACCCGCUGAACUUAAGCAUAUCAAUAAGCGGAGGA